GCGCUUGCAUCGGUAGCACAUAUACUAAAAGUGGAGUGAUACAGAGAAGACUAGCAUGGCCUCUGCGCAAGGAGGACACGUAGAUGCACAUAUAUAAAGUUACC
ensembl:snRNA U6 U6 spliceosomal RNA